rnacentral:rRNA from 1 species
GAUGAACGCUAGCGGCAGGCUUAAUACAUGCAAGUCGAGGGGCAGCAGGGGUAGCAAUACUCGCUGGCGACCGGCAAACGGGUGCGGAACACGUACAGAACCUUCCUUUAAGUGGGGAAUAGCCCAGAGAAAUUUGGAUUAAUACCCCGUAACAUUAUGAAGUGGCAUCACUUUAUAAUUAUAGAUUCAUCGCUUAAAGAUGGCUGUGCGGCUGAUUAGGUAGUUGGCGGGGUAACGGCCCACCAAGCCUGCGAUCAGUAACUGGUGUGAGAGCACGACCAGUCACACGGGCACUGAGACACGGGCCCGGACUCCUACGGGAGGCAGCAGUAAGGAAUAUUGGUCAAUGGACGCAAGUCUGAACCAGCCAUGCCGCGUGGAGGAUGAAGGUCCUCU